GAAAUGCGAUAAGUAGUGUGAAUUGCAGAAUUCAGUGAAUCAUCGAAUCUUUGAACGCACAUUGCGCCCCUCGGUAUUCCAUGGGGCAUGCCUGUUCGAGCGUCAUCUACACCCUCAAGCUCUGCUUGGUGUUGGGCGUCUGUCCCGCCCCCGCGCGUGGACUCGCCCCAAAUCCAUUGGCAGCGUUCCUUGCCCCCUCUCGCGCAGCACAUUGCGCUUCUCGAGGGCGGCUCCGGGACGCGAUCCAGCAAGAUGACCACCGUCUUUGACCUCGGAUCAGGUAGGGAUACCCGCUGAACUUAAGC
rnacentral:misc_RNA from 1 species